CACAAGUUAUGUUGUGUUAUCGACAAGUGAAUUCAUAGCUUGUCAGAAGGCAGACCCGGAGAACUGAAACAUCUUAGUACCCGGAGGAAGAGAAAGAAAAUUCGAUUCCCUGAGUAGCGGCGAGCGAAACGGGAAGAGCCCAAACCAAUAAGCUUGCUUAUUGGGGUUGUAGGACACUCUAUACGGAGUUACAAAGGAAUAUAUUAAACGAAUCAUCUGGAAAGUUGAAUCAAAGAAGGUAAUAAUCCUGUAGUUGAAAAUAUAUUCUCUCUUGAGUGGAUCCUGAGUACGACGGAGCACGUGAAAUUCCGUCGGAAUCUGGGAGGACCAUCUCCUAAGGCUAAAUACUCUCUAGUGACCGAUAGUGAACCAGUACCGUGAGGGAAAGGUGAAAAGUACCCCGGAAGGGGAGUGAAAGAGAACUUGAAACCGUGUGCUUACAAGUAGUCAGAGCCCGUUAAUGGGUGAUGGCGUGCCUUUUGUAGAAUGAACCGGCGAGUUACGAUCUGAUGCAAGGUUAAGCAGAAAAUGUGGAGCCGUAGCGAAAGCGAGUCUGAAUAGGGCGUAUAGUAUUUGGUCGUAGACCCGAAACCAGGUGAUCUACCCAUGGUCAGGUUGAAGUUCAGGUAACACUGAAUGGAGGACCGAACCGACUUACGUUGAAAAGUGAGCGGAUGAACUGUGGGUAGCGGAGAAAUUCCAAUCGAACUUGGAGAUAGCUGGUUCUCUCCGAAAUAGCUUUAGGGCUAGCCUCAAGUGAUGAUUAUUGGAGGUAGAGCACUGUUUGGACGAGGGGCCCCUCUCGGGUUACCGAAUUCAGACAAACUCCGAAUGCCAAUUAAUUUAACUUGGGAGUCAGAACAUGGGUGAUAAGGUCCGUGUUCGAAAGGGAAACAGCCCAGACCACCAGCUAAGGUCCCAAAAUAUAUGUUAAGUGGAAAAGGAUGUGGCGUUGCCCAGACAACUAGGAUGUUGGCUUAGAAGCAGCCAUCAUUUAAAGAGUGCGUAAUAGCUCACUAGUCGAGUGACACUGCGCCGAAAAUGUACCGGGGCUAAACAUAUUACCGAAGCUGUGGAUUGUCCUUUGGACAAUGGUAGGAGAGCGUUCUAAGGGCGUUGAAGCAUGAUCGCAAGGACAUGUGGAGCGCUUAGAAGUGAGAAUGCCGGUGUGAGUAGCGAAAGACGGGUGAGAAUCCCGUCCACCGAUUGACUAAGGUUUCCAGAGGAAGGCUCGUCCGCUCUGGGUUAGUCGGGUCCUAAGCUGAGGCCGACAGGCGUAGGCGAUGGAUAACAGGUUGAUAUUCCUGUACCACCUAUAAUCGUUUUAAUCGAUGGGGGGACGCAGUAGGAUAGGCGAAGCGUACGAUUGGAUUGUACGUCUAAGCAGUGAGAUUGAGUGUUAGGCAAAUCCGGCACUCUUAAGAUUGAGCUGUGAUGGGGAGAGGAAAUUGUUUCCUCGAGUCGUUGAUUUCACACUGCCGAGAAAAGCCUCUAGAUAGAGAUUAGGUGCCCGUACCGCAAACCGACACAGGUAGUCAAGAUGAGAAUUCUAAGGUGAGCGAGCGAACUCUCGUUAAGGAACUCGGCAAAAUGACCCCGUAACUUCGGGAGAAGGGGUGCUCUUUAGGGUGCAAGCCCAGAAGAGCCGCAGUGAAUAGGCCCAAGCGACUGUUUAUCAAAAACACAGGUCUCUGCUAAACCGUAAGGUGAUGUAUAGGGG
rnacentral:rRNA from 1 species